rnacentral:rRNA from 1 species
CCUACGGGAGGCAGCAGUGGGGAAUAUUGCACAAUGGGGGAAACCCUGAUGCAGCGACGCCGCGUGAGUGAAGAAGUAUUUCGGUAUGUAAAGCUCUAUCAGCAGGGAAGAAAUAGCGACCUUUGGGUCGCCAGACGGUACCUGACUAAGAAGCGCAGGCUAACUCCGUGCCAGCAACCGCGGUAAUACGUAGGGGGCAGGCGGUAUCCGGAAUUAAUGGGUGUAUAGGGAGCGUAGACGGCAGCACAAGGCUGAAGUGAAAUGCCGGGGCGUAACCCCCGAACUGCUGUUGAAACUGUGCAGCUAGAGAGGAGGAGAGGUAAGUGGAAUGCGUAGUGUAGCGGUGAAAUGCGUAGAUAUUAGGAGGAACACCAGUGGCGAAGGCGGCUUACUGGACUGGAACUGACGUUGAGGCACGAAAGCGUGGGGAUCGAACAGGAUUAGAUACCCCGGUAGUC